rnacentral:rRNA from 1 species
CCUACGGGUGGCAGCAGUGAGGAAUAUUGGACAAUGGAGGCAACUCUGAUCCAGCCAUGCCGCGUGCAGGAUGACUGCCCUAUGGGUUGUAAACUGCUUUUAUACAGGAAGAAACACUGCUACGUGUAGCAGCUUGACGGUACUGUAAGAAUAAGGAUCGGCUAACUCCGUGCCAGCAGCCGCGGUAAUACGGAGGAUCCAAGCGUUAUCCGGAAUCAUUGGGUUUAAAGGGUCCGUAGGUGGAUAAUUAAGUCAGGGGUGAAAGUCUGCAGCUCAACUGUAGAAUUGCCUUUGAUACUGGUUAUCUUGAAUCAUUAUGAAGUAGUUAGAAUAUGUAGUGUAGCGGUGAAAUGCAUAGAUAUUACAUAGAAUACCAAUUGCGAAGGCAGAUUACUAAUAAUGUAUUGACACUGAUGGACGAAAGCGUAGGUAGCGAACGG